rnacentral:rRNA from 2 species
ACUGCUCAGUAACACGUGGAUAACAUGCCCUAAGGUGGGGGAUAAUCUCGGGAAACUGAGGAUAAUACCCCAUAGGUCUGAUCUGCUGGAAUGCUUUCAGGCCGAAAACUCCGGUGCCUUAGGAUUGGUCUGCGGUCUAUCAGGCUGUAGUGGGUGUAACGGACCCACUAGCCCGUGACGGAUAUGGGCCUUGAGAGAGGGAGCCCAGAGAUGGACUCUGAGACAUGAGUCCAGGCCCUACGGGGCGCAGCAGUCGCGAAAACUUCGCAAUGGGGGCAACCCCGACGAGGGAAUUCCAAGUGCCAGCACUUUGUGUUGGCUGUUCUCCUGUCUAAAAAACAGGAGGAGUAAGGGGCGGGUAAGACGGGUGCCAGCCGCCGCGGUAAUACCCGCGCCCCUAGUGGUGGUCGAUAUUAUUGAGCCUAAAACGUCCGUAGCCGGUCUUUUAAAUCCUUGGGUAAAUCGGACAGCUUAACUGUCCGAAGUCCGGGGAGACUGGAAGACUUGGGACCGGGAGAGGUCAGAGGUACUUCUGGGGUAGGGGUAAAAUCCUGUAAUCCUGGAAGGACCACCGGUGGCGAAGGCGUCUGACUAGAACGGAUCCGACGGUGAGGGACGAAGCCCUGGGGCGCAAACGGGAUUAGAUACCCCGGUAGUCCAGGGUGUAAACGCUGCGGGCUUGGUGUUGGGGGUCCUUAGUGGGCGCCCAGUGCCGGAGAGAAGUUGUUAAGCCUGCUGCUUGGGGAGUAUGUCCGCAAGGAUGAAACUUAAAGGAAUUGGCGGGGGAGCAC